GUGCGCGGCGCAGCGCGCGGCGUCAGUCUUGGCUGGCAGACCUGUACUCCGUACUCCGUACUUCGUAGUCGCAGCGGCGCGGUCUUCGGCAGUCUAGUCAUCCACCGCCAUCCUGGGCCCCACGUGUUGCCUGACCAUUCCUGAGCCCAGGUGGGAGCCGUGGCUGAGGUGACGGUCUCAAAGUGGAAGAGCUUACUGUCACAGCAACUCCUUUGCAAGAUGCCCCGGCCAGGAAUAGUUGCUGAACACCCCAGGCCUGCUGAGGUCCCUCCUUGAGUCUCAUGUUCAAGCAGUCUUGUGAGUAAAGCACUGGCUACCCCUUUUCACUUACUAUCUUUUCAAGCAUGUUCUACCACCUUGGAAGGUAAGAGGUUAGUACCUUCUUCCAGAGCAGAGGGCAGGCAUUCUUGCUGUGCGUUGUGAAAGGGUAGAGUCCUGCGCUCCUUUCUUGUAGUAGUCCAAUGGCUCAUGCAGGUGCCUCUGACUCCCCUAUGGGAACUGGGGCUUGGGAGGGUGGUGGAAAAUGCUGAUGCUCUGGCUAUUGCUAUUGUUUUGAAUAAUCAGUGGUCCCUUGUCCCUAAUCGAGGAAUUUUGUAUUUUCUACCAGUGUCCAUGAAACUGGGAGGCGACCGUGUUAGCUGCCAGUUCCUGACAGCCACCUCUCACCAGUGGCUUCACUCUGUGUCCCUGACCCAGCACAUGGCACAAGAGUGCCUGCCAUCCGUCAGUGUUUCUACAGCAGCAAUCCCAAGAUGCUGGAGCUAGAGGGGACCUGACCUGAGAGAAGAUACCUUCAGUGGCUGCCAGGCUGUUCCUUGGAACCUGUGCAGGGGUAAGUGUGCAGGAAGGUCUGACCUGGCAAGUCACUUCACUCCUGUUUUAUUUAGAGUCACCUGGCUAAUGAAAAGUAUUUUGACCUUCCCGUAUGGUAAGUCAGGUGAUUGAAUCCCAGAAAGGUUCAUUGUCUUCAAGCUCACAAUACUAUUUUGGGACAAACAGUUGUCUAGUGUUUGGACUCAUGAACCCUGAUUCUUGAGGG
rnacentral:lncRNA from 1 species